CAGCGAUUGCAAGGGUUUGAACGACGUGACUUUUAAUCAAGUUGUCCGGGGUUCGAAUCCCCGCACGCUCA
rnacentral:tRNA from 1 species